GCGUGUGUGUAUGCGCGUGUGCAUGCGCACGCGAAAGAGAGACAUAGAGGCUACUAGAGCUUCGAUAACCAUCAACGAGGAAUUAGGUAGCCACCAGUGACCUUCACCGGAGAUGUUGAGUGGUAAAUUGAUGCAUUUAUUUUUGGUUUUUUUGCUUAUUUUUUAGAUUUAAGGUGGAUGUUUUAAGCUCAAGAUUUUGGUAUUGGAUGGAGAAGAUUUGAGGUUCAUUGUGUUUUUCAUAUUCUUUCUUCUGUUCCCUCCCCUCCCUCCCUCUUCUUUAUUAUCUUAUUUCUUCUCUGUAUUUCUUUUUAUUCAUAUAUCGAAAGGAUUACAUCAGCAAGUUUAUUCUACCCACGAUAUCUUAAAUGGAAGUGCCUUGAGAGACCAUGCUGCAUCAAAUGGUUUCAAAUUAUGAUGUAUAUAUUCUAUCAUAUGCCCCUACAUUGUAUGUUUAUUGGUGUAUUGAUAGGUUGAUGGGAGUGUAAUUGCUAUUGCACUGACAAUAAUUCAGAAAGAUUGGAAUUAAUUUCAUGUACAAAGUGCUAAAUCAAUUAUAUUGUUGCGGUUUCCUAAGUUUCUUUUGUUUUCUUCCUUUUGUUUGUUGAUAUUUUGUCAUAGAUGUGUUCGCCAAUGGGGUAUGCUUAGCUAUUGAAGAAAGUGACAAAAAGAUGACAAUGCCUAUUUGACUGAAAAUUUUGUUUCGUAUAACAUGCUUUUUAAUGAGUGAAUAGAAGCCUCCAAUGUUGUAUCCUGAUAGAAAUUGUUAUUUUACUUGAGCUGGGGUUUUGAACUUGAACAUGAAGAGGAAGGAGACCUUAUAUUUUACCUAGCUCACUUAGUUAUUAGUGAUAUGUUCCUCAAAGUUGUUAAUUAUCAGUUUUUAUUUAAGCUUGGCCUGGCUUCAUCCUUGUAGAUUUCAUGCAAACGACAUACCUGGCUUGACUAUCUGCUUUCUAUAUCAUGGUAUGGUUUGGAUUGGCGAGGUGGAAAAUGGUAUGCUGAUAGGAAGUUCAGGAAGGAGCAAAUGAAAUUGUUAGGACAGAUCAUACCUAAAAGGUGGCAACUGAAGUUCUUAAGAAGACCAUUAACAUGACCCAAAUCAUCUGAAAAUGUUGUUAAAGUGUCAGAAGCGUUCCAAAAGGAUUUACCUGUUGCACAUAAUUCUGGAGAAAUGAAUCGACCUUGUUAGUAACAGAUAUAAAAUGCAACAGCACUUGUUGAGGAAAAUAUAUUGUUUAUUGAGAUUAUACUCAUUAGAGUUUUUUGUACUUGUUACCUGGGAAGAAAUAUAAUCUACUAGUUUUGUCUCCUAUUA